GGAUGGAUGAAAAUGAUGUCCCCGGGAUGGUGGAUAGAUACACCUCUCAAGUGUAUGAGACCGUAUUUACCCAGAUAGAUGGCUAUGCUAUGCAAUAUAAUAUGACGGAGUUUGUCUCUGGGAUAAAACAUUUUGUAAUAGUUCCUGCAAAUAACACAUUUAAUCAAUCUACGGCUUUGGCAUCCCCCUCUCCUUAUGCAGAGAAACUCUUAAGCCUGAAAAGGAGGGUUAAAGAUCGUGAAUGGGCACAAAUAUAUACAGAAGUGGAUGUAAUGUUCAGGGAACUUCUGAUCACUAGAGAGGACUUGGUUGAGAAAGCCAAAGGGUUCGCUCUCCAAGGAGUAAAUGUAAUGCAACGGAUACUGGUUAGUAGCACAUCUGUCUUAGGUGGGAGCAUGAAGGUCAUGUUCUUGAUCGGGAAUUCCAUCGUUUCGGGUGCUGCUGGUCUUUUUAAUUUUGUAUCUCAGCUAAUGGUAUUCAUUUGGGUACUUUAUUAUCUCAUCACAUCGGAUUCUGGUGGAGUAACAGAACAAGUCAUGUCUAUGCUCCCUAUGUCACAUUCCGCAAGGAGGCGAAGUGUUGAGGUUCUUGACAAAGCUAUUUCUGGGGUUCUUCUAGCAACUGCUGAGAUUGCACUCUUUCAGGGGUGUCUAACUUGGCUCUUGUUCAGAUUAUUCUCCAUACAUUUUUUGUACAUGUCAACAAUCCUCGCAUUUCUUAGUCCUUUGUUUCCUAUUUUCCCAUCACUGUUUUCAACUAUCCCAGCUGCUUUACAGUUGGUGCUUGAAGGUCAAUAUGUAUUGGCCAUCAGCUUAUCAAUUAUACAUCUCGUACUUAUGGACUAUGGUACAUCCGAAAUCAUGGAGGAUAUACCUGGCUAUAACGCGUAUCUCACUGGUCUCAGCAUUAUUGGAGGAAUGACAUUGUUCCCUUCAGCAUUUGAGGGAGCAAUAAUGGGACCACUGAUAACUACUGUUGUGAUCGCGAUUAAAGAUUUGUAUGUUGAAUUUGUAUUGGAAGAACAGAAGGAAUAAGCAGAACAAAUCUGUGUUUGCAAUGCCUGAACCUUUGAAGACAUUGAGAAGAACCCCCUAUUACUUUCUUUGAUGGAAAAACAUCGCAAGAUAAAGUGAAUUCUUUUUUCUCCCAGUCAACUAUUGUUUGUAUUCUACCUGUGUUUGAGGAUUUUUUUUUUU
rnacentral:misc_RNA from 1 species